GCCGGAGUGGCGGAAUUGGCAGACGCGCUGGAUUCAAAAUCCAGUGCCCGCAAGGGCGUGAGGGUUCGAGUCCCUCCUCCGGUAC
rnacentral:tRNA from 1 species